GCAGUUACUAUUUGCUUUGAUUAUGCGUAUAACAAACAGUCAAAUUAUACGUUCUCGUGCACCACCGACGGAAAAGACUGGCACGUAGGUACUGCCUCAGAGGCCUGUGAAGCCUAUGGACACUACAAGUUUUUUAACGAAUUUGGCUUGAAGGAAUUUUCUGAGGGACCAAAAUGGGAAGAGUUUACUAUGCGGACAGCAAUACUCCCCCAACAAUUUCUACAUUUCGUGUCAUUUCAGUUAAAAUCAGUACUAUUCUCUCCGAUUCGAACAAGAUUAGGAGUCUGCUAUUCCUU